rnacentral:rRNA from 1 species
UACAGAGGUCUCGAGCGUUGUUCGGAUUCAUUGGGCGUAAAGGGCGCGUAGGCGGCGGGGUAAGUCUGGUGUGAAAUCUCGGAGCUCAACUCCGAAAUUGCACUGGAUACUGCUCUGCUAGAGGGCUGGAGAGGAGACAUGGAAUUUACGGUGUAGCAGUGAAAUGCGUAGAUAUCGUAAGGAAGACCAGUGGCGAAGGCGG